rnacentral:rRNA from 1 species
UACGUAGGGGCUAGCGUUGUCCGGAAUCACUGGGCGUAAAGCGCACGUAGGCGGCUUUUUAAGUCAGGGGUGAAAUCCUGGAGCUCAACUCCAGAACUGCCUUUGAUACUGGGAAGCUUGAGUCCGGAAGAGGUGAGUGGAACUCCGAGUGUAGAGGUGAAAUUCGUAGAUAUUCGGAGGAACACCAGAAGCGAAGGCGGCCAACUGGCCCGAUACUGACGCUGAGGCGCGAAAGCGUGGGGAGCAAACAGG